CCGCCCACAUGAAGUCGGAAUUGCUAGUAAUGGCAGGUCAGCAUACUGCCGUGAAUACGUUCCCGGGCCUUGUACACACCGCCCGUCACACCAUGAGAGUCUGCAACACCCGAAGUCAGUAGUUUAACCGCAAGGAGAGCGCUGCCGAAGGUGGGGCCGAUGAUUGGGGUGAAGUCGUAACAAGGUAGCCGUAUCGGAAGGUGCGGCUGGAUCACCUCCUUU
rnacentral:rRNA from 1 species